CGCCCAGCUGCCGCUGUUUAGUUUUUUUCCCUGGCUUCUCUGCUGUUCGCCUGUUCUAGUGUUCUUCACGGUCACGGGCAGGCUGCAGCUUUGCAGAUUGUCUCCAUCCCGCCAAUCCCGCCAGCAACCCAGCACAACCGCUCGUCAGAUUUGCUGCUAGCUUCUUCCGUGUGGCUGUUCUCCAAGAGUCUGACGCCCACAAAUUUGCUGCUAGCUUCCACCCUCUGACUCCCACGCUGCCCGCACUACCAUCUCGUGUGAAGGAAGAGCUGUGCGCGAGAAAGUUCUGCAUAUGUGUUGUUGGCCUGCUGUGCACUAGUUCUUCACGUGGCGGCUCUCCACAAGACAGCAAGCGCAGGACAGCGACGAGUUGGGUGGAGGCGCUGGCACAAUUCCUGCGAUGUUGUGGGAUUCGGACAGCGAAGAUGAAGUGCACGUGGUUGACCAUCCUAGUGAGCAUCGUGUUGCUACUCACGUAGAGAAAGGAAAGACCAUGGCUGAUGCCAACGCAUCUUUUAGUGGUGCUGAUGUGGUGCUUGAUCGAUAUGGGGUACCCCAAGACUCCUAAACUCUGCUGGUAACCACCAUCAGCACAAGCUGCAAAGGUCUGAUGGGCGUAAUACAGGUCAAAGCUCCAUCCACUCAAGGGACACGAUCUUGCCUCGCCCGAGCCCAGCCUCGGGCAGGAACAGUAGACCCAGGCGGAUUCACGCCUCGCCCGAGGGCCUCCUCAAGCAACGGGCGCACCUUCGACUCGCCCGAGACCCAGCUCGGGCAGGCUUCGCAGUGAAGCAACCUUGGCCAGAUCGCCUCGCCAACCGACCAUAUCGCAGGAGCAUUCAAUGCAAGGAUCGCCUGACACCUUAUCCUGACGCGCGUUCCUCAGUUGACAGGGCCGAAGUGACCGCAGUCACUUCGCCCCUCCACUGACUGACCUGACAGGAAAACAGCGUCGCCUGCCCUGUUCCGACUGCUGUGCCACCCGUCAGGGUGAGGCUGACAGCAGCCGAGUCCAGCUGUAAUACUCAAAAGUGUAUAAAAGGAUUAUAUGGUGAUAUCCUUAUUUUAUGUGU